rnacentral:piRNA from 1 species
UCUCAGCACAGAUAUAGCAACAUUGUUUCA